rnacentral:rRNA from 1 species
AUGAACGCUAGCGAUAGGCUUAACCCAUGCAAGUCGAGGGGCAGCAUGGUCUUAGCUUGCUAAGACUGAUGGCGACCGGCGCACGGGUGCGUAACGCGUAUGCAACUUGCCUCACAGAGGGGGAUAACCCGUCGAAAGACGGACUAAUACCGCGUACACUCCAUCUUGGGCAUCCAAGGUAGAGGAAAUGAAAUUCGCUGUGAGAUAGGCAUGCGUCCCAUUAGCUAGUUGGUGAGGUAACGGCUCACCAAGGCGACGAUGGGUAGGGGAACUGAGAGGUUGAGCCCCCACACUGGUACUGAGACACGGACCAGACUACUACGGGAGGCAGCAGUGAGGAAUAUUGGUCAAUGGGCGAGAGCCUGAACCAGCCAAGUCGCGUGAAGGAUGACUGUCUUAUGGAUUGUAAACUUCUUUUAUACGGGAAUAACAAGAGUCACGUGUGACUCCCUGCAUGUACCGUAUGAAUAAGCAUCGGCUAACUCCGUG